AACGAACGCUGGCGGCGGGGUUUAGGCAUGCAAGUCGAGCGAGAAAGUCUUCGGACGAGUACAGCGGCGUAAGGGUGAGUAAUAGGUAGUUCACGUGCCCUCGUGACGCGAAUAAUUUCCCGAAAGGGAUUGUAAUGCGCGAUGAGACCACAGUUCCCACGGGAACAGAGGUCAAAGGUCGGGGAUCCUUCGGGACCCGGCGCAUGAGGAGCGGACGACCUCCGAUUAGCUAGAUGGC
rnacentral:rRNA from 1 species